AUGAACAAUGUUUUGGUAGUGCCUAAAGAAAUUAUCACAACAUCACGUUUCUUCAGGGAAUACUUCAAGAUGAGGAGAACAUCCCAUGGGAAAACGGACUGGGUUGAUGUUCAGUGGAAAGGAGGAGUAAUGCCCCACCCAGUGCAAAGGGAUGGUUGCAGUUGUGGCGUUAUUGUUGUUGAAAUGGCCAGAGCAGUAAUGGGAGCCUUCCCUCAGUUGCCCCAAAUGCAAUUUGAAACCACCAGGAAAGCCAUGGGAGAAUCUAGGAGGAAUAUGGGUCUCCAAGUCCUUGAGGCAUCAGGUACAAUAACUUAAAUAAUGAAUAACUUAAAGGCACUCCACUUGAAUUCAGAUUAAAUGUAUUAUGCAAAUACACUUUCUUUCAGUCUUUGAUGAAGAGACAUGUGCAAUGUGUGGAGCUGACAGGCCCCCUGGAGAAGCACCUGCCAACACAAACUGGGUGAGUUGUUGUGAGCAGCAGUUCAAUGUGGAAUCGUGAUGUGACAUACAGUGUUAGUAGCAACUUACUAAGUUACUGUAAUAAAAUUACCCCAAUGGUUAACAGCACUUAUUCCUCCAUGAGUUAUAUGUAAUGCACUACCUUUCUUAAGUGACUUCACCGACGCUUGUGAUAUACCAGUUAAACUUAAGUGUUGCUACCAACUGACAAAAUCAUGUGCAUGAAUAAAUCAUGAAUUCAUUUUUUAAUCCAACAGAUCCAGUGUGAUAAAUGUGACCGGUGGUUCCAUGCCGUCUGUUUAACCAUGGACCCCAGGACACUUCAAGAGCUGAAGCAAAAGCAAUGGCUGUGUGUGCUGUGCAAAUAAAUAUUUUACCUGUUACCUGUCCUACAAGUGCCUCACGACCUUUAUA
rnacentral:lncRNA from 1 species